CAGCAGCCGCGGGAAUACGAAGGGUGCAAGCGUUACUCGGAAUUACUGGGCGUAAAGCGUGUGUAGGUGGUUGUUUAAGUCUGUCGUGAAAGCCCUGGGCUCAACCUGGGAAUUGCGAUGGAUACUGGGCGACUAGAGUGCGGUAGAGGAUAGUGGAAUUUCCGGUGUAGCAGUGAAAUGCGUAGAGAUGUGGAGGAACACCGAUGGCGAAGGCAGCCCCCUGGGCCAAUACUGACGCUCAUGCACGAAAGCGUGGGGAGCAAACAGGAUUAGAUACCCCAGUAGUCCCUGUCUCUUAUAC
rnacentral:rRNA from 1 species